rnacentral:guide_RNA from 1 species
AAAACAAAAACACUACUAAUAUCAGUGGGUAUAUGAUGAGAUUAU